rnacentral:rRNA from 1 species
AGAACGAACGCUGGCGGCAGGCUUAACACAUGCAAGUCGAGCGCCGUAGCAAUACGGAGCGGCAGACGGGUGAGUAACGCGUGGGAACAUACCCUUCGGUUCGGAAUAAUUCAGGGAAACUUGGACUAAUACCGGAUACGGACGAGAGUCGAAAGAUUUAUCGCCGAAGGAUUGGCCCGCGUUCGAUUAGCUAGUUGGUGUGGUAACGGCGCACCAAGGCGACGAUCGAUAGCUGGUCUGAGAGGAUGAUCAGCCACAUUGGGACUGAGACACGGCCCAAACUCCUACGGGAGGCAGCAGUGGGGAAUAUUGGACAAUGGGCGCAAGCCUGAUCCAGCCAUGCCGCGUGAGUGAUGACGGCCUUAGGGUUGUAAAGCUCUUUCGCUAGGGACGAUAAUGACGGUACCUAGACAAGAAGCCCGGCUAACUUCGUGCCAGCAGCCGC